rnacentral:rRNA from 1 species
AUGAACCCGGUUUUGCCCGCGUGGAUGCCAACUCAUCAGCGCCAAGUCACCACUCUCUCCAUGUCAGCAAGCACAGUCAGCAGUCAGCCAGGGCUUAACCCUCCUCCCCUCCCGACCCAACUCGCUCGCCCCCGCCCCGCUCGCGACCUAGCCAGGCGCCACCGCCGCCGCCGCCGCCGCCGUCGCCGACGAUCCCCUGGACCAGCGCCCCGCCGCAGAUCCCAGCGUGCCCGCUCUCCCGCAUCCGGCCGCCGGCCGGCGACUCCCCCCCUCCGCCCGGGUCUUUCCCCCGCGAGAUCCGAGCGGGGCUAG